rnacentral:rRNA from 1 species
CAGUAGCCGCGGGAAUACGGAGGGUGCAAGCGUUAAUCGGAAUUACUGGGCGUAAAGCGCACGCAGGCGGUCUGACAAGUCAGAUGUGAAAUCCCCGGGCUUAACCUGGGAACUGCAUUUGAAACUGUCAGGCUGGAGUCUUGUAGAGGGGGGUAGAAUUCCAGGUGUAGCGGUGAAAUGCGUAGAGAUCUGGAGGAAUACCGGUGGCGAAGGCGGCCCCCUGGACAAAGACUGACGCUCAGGUGCGAAAGCGUGGGGAGCAAACAGGAUUAGAUACCCCUGUAGUCCCUGUCUCUUAUAA